rnacentral:lncRNA from 1 species
AAAGAAAAAUAAAAAUUUUGUGGGUUGUCUCCCACGAAGCGCUUUGUUUAAUGUCGCAAGCUCGACAGAAAACUAUUAAAUGUUAAUCUAUUAAUUUUGGAGACAAUAUGUCUAAGUGCAGGACUUGCGAGUCUUCAUUGUUUUCAGCAUAAUGAUAAUGUUUUAGACGCUGCCGGUUUACGAUAAAUGAUUCAAUAGAUUUUCC